rnacentral:rRNA from 1 species
AUACGGAGGAUGCGAGCGUUAUCCGGAUUUAUUGGGUUUAAAGGGUGCGUAGGCUGUGCGUUAAGUCAGGGGUGAAAUGCCGUCGCUCAACGACGGAGCUGCCCUUGAUACUGGCGUGCUGGAGUACGGAUGCCGUUGGAGGAAUGAGUGGUGUAGCGGUGAAAUGCUUAGAUAUCACUCAGAACACCGAUUGCGAAGGCAUCUGACGAAUCCGUCACUGACGCCGAGGCACGAAAGCGUGGGGAUAGAACAGGAUUAGAUACCCUGGUAUUCCACGCCGUAAACGAUGAUGACUAACCGUCGGCGAUAGACAGCCGGUGGCCAAGCGAAAGCGAUAAGUCAUCCACCUGGGGAGUACGUCGGCAACGAUGAAACUCAAAUGAAUUGGCGGGG